UACGAAGGGGGCUAGCGUUGUUCGGAAUCACUGGGCGUAAAGGGCGCGUAGGCGGCCAUAUAAGUCGGGGGUGAAAGCCUGUGGCUCAACCACAGAAUUGCCUUCGAUACUGUAUGGCUCGAGACCGGAAGAGGUAAGUGGAACUGCGAGUGUAGAGGUGAAAUUCGUAGAUAUUCGCAAGAACGCCAGUGGCGAAGGCGGCUUACUGGUCCGGUUCUGACGCUGAGGCGCGAAAGCGUGGGGAGCAAACAGG
rnacentral:rRNA from 1 species